rnacentral:rRNA from 1 species
UACAGAGGUGGCAAGCGUUGUUCGGAUUUACUGGGCGUAAAGAGCGCGCAGGCGGUCGAUCAAGUCGAGUGUGAAAGCCCCCGGCUCAACUGGGGAGGGGCAUUCGAUACUGAUCGACUCGAAGGCAGGAGAGGGUAGUGGAAUUCCCGGUGUAGUGGUGAAAUGCGUAGAUAUCGGGAGGAACACCAGUGGCGAAGGCGACUACCUGGCCUGUUCUUGACGCUGAGGCGCGAAAGCUAGGGGAGCAAACGGG